GACGAACGCUGGCGGCGUGCUUAACACAUGCAAGUCGAACGGAAAGGCCCCCUUGUGGGGUACUCGAGUGGCGAACGGGUGAGUAACACGUGAGUAACCUACCCUUGACUUUGGGAUAACUUCAGGAAACUGGGGCUAAUACCGGAUAGGAGCUCCUGCUGCAUGGUGGGGGUUGGAAAGUUUCGGCGGUUGGGGAUGGACUCGCGGCUUAUCAGCUUGUUGGUGGGGUAGUGGCUCACCAAGGCUUUGACGGGUAGCCGGCCGGAGAGGGUGACCGGCCACAUUGGGACUGAGAUACGGCCCAGACUCCUACGGGCGGCAGCAGUGGGGAAUAUUGCACAAUGGGCGGAAGCCUGAUGCAGCAACGCCGCGUGCGGGAUGACGGCCUUCGGGUUGUAACCCGCUUUCGCCUGUGACGAAGCGUGAGUGACGGUAAUGGGUAAAGAAGCACCGGCUAACUACGUG
rnacentral:rRNA from 1 species